GAUGAACGCUGGCGGCGUGCCUAAUACAUGCAAGUCGAGCGAACAGACGAGGAGCUUGCGCCGCUGACGUUAGCGGAGGACGGGAGAGAAACACGUGGAUAACCUACCUAUAAGACUGGGAACACUAGGGGAAACCGGAGCAAAUACCGGAGAAUAUAUUGCACCGCAUGGAUCAAUAGAAAGAGUCGGCGUUGGGGGCACUACUAGAUGCAUCCGCGCCGCAUGAGCUAGUAGGGAAGGUAAAGGCUUACCACGGCAACGAGGCGUAGCCGACGUGUGUGGGUGAUCGGCCGCACGGGAACUGAGACACGGUCAUGACUCCUACGGGAGGCAGCAGUAGGCAACGGGCCGCAGUGGGCGAAAGCUUGACGGAGCGAGGCGGCGUGAGUGAUGAAGGUCUUCGGAUCGUAAUGCUCGGUUAUUAGUGAUGAACAAAUGUGUAAGUAACUAUGGACGUCUUGACGGUACCGAAUCAGAAAGCCCCGGCUAACUACGUG
rnacentral:rRNA from 1 species